rnacentral:rRNA from 1 species
AGAGUUUGAUCCUGGCUCAGAUUGAACGCUGGCGGCAGGCCUAACACAUGCAAGUCGAGCGGUAACAGAUCUAGCUUGCUAGAUGCUGACGAGCGGCGGACGGGUGAGUAAUGCAUAGGAAUCUGCCCUGUAGUGGGGGAUAACCUGGGGAAACCCAGGCUAAUACCGCAUACGUCCUACGGGAGAAAGGGGGCUUCGGCUCCCGCUGCGGGAUGAGCCUAUGUCGGAUUAGCUAGUUGGUGAGGUAACGGCUCACCAAGGCGACGAUCCGUAGCUGGUCUGAGAGGAUGAUCAGCCACAUCGGGACUGAGACACGGCCCGAACUCCUACGGGAGGCAGCAGUGGGGAAUAUUGGACAAUGGGGGGAACCCUGAUCCAGCCAUGCCGCGUGUGUGAAGAAGGCCUUCGGGUUGUAAAGCACUUUCAGCGAGGAAGAACGCCUAGUGGUUAAUACCCAUUAGGAAAGACAUCACUCGCAGAAGAAGCACCGGCUAACUCCGUGCCAGCAGCCGCGGUAAUACGGAGGGUGCAAGCGUUAAUCGGAAUUACUGGGCGUAAAGCGCGCGUAGGUGGCUUGAUAAGCCGGUUGUGAAAGCCCCGGGCUCAACCUGGGAACGGCAUCCGGAACUGUCAGGCUAGAGUGCAGGAGAGGAAGGUAGAAUUCCCGGUGUAGCGGUGAAAUGCGUAGAGAUCGGGAGGAAUACCAGUGGCGAAGGCGGCCUUCUGGACUGACACUGACACUGAGGUGCGAAAGCGUGGGUAGCAAACAGGAUUAGAUACCCUGGUAGUCCACGCCGUAAACGAUGUCGACCAGCCGUUGGGUGCCUAGAGCACUUUGUGGCGAAGUUAACGCGAUAAGUCGACCGCCCGGGGAGUACGGCCGCAAGGUUAAAACUCAAAUGAAUUGACGGGGGCCCGCACAAGCGGUGGAGCAUGUGGUUUAAUUUCGAUGCAACGCGAAGAACCUUACCUACCCUUGACAUCUACAGAAGCCGGGAAGAGAUUCGGGUGUGCCUUCGGGAACUGUAGACAGGUGCUGCAUGCUGUCGUCAGCUCGUGUUGUGAAAUGUUGGGGUAAGUCCCGUACGAGCGCAACCCUUGUCCUUAUUUGCCCAGCCACGUAAUGGGUGGGAACCCUCCUA